GCCUUUGUUGUCGGGGCCUCGUGCCGAUGGGUUAAUGGGGCAGAAGAGAUCGGUGAAGGGUGACAGAAGUGGGCUUUGAAAGAGAGUGUCAGCGUAGGGCAGCCAGACAAAGGCCAAAAUACACACGGGCGGAGAAGGACAGAUGGGACAGGAGAGAGAAAACAAUUAGGCGGCGAGUGAGGGGGCGGGGCGAGGCUUCAUCUUUUUCCAGUUAACCAGGCGCAGGGGGCGCUGCUUCCCUCCCAGGCCGCCGGGCCGCUCGCUGCAAACCGAUGCUGUUUAAUUAACGUGCAAAUUGAGUAGAUUAAAUGACUCUAAAUAAUUAGCCGCGGAUCCUAUAAACAGGAUAACAUAUUUAAUUAAGCAGCGAUAUAGAUUUUGGAAACUGUUAAUGUAUUUUGAGAAUGGCUGCUUAGAUCUAACACUUUCCCCUCUAACUUCAAACAUGUAACUACAGCCCUCCCAACGUGGAUAAAUAUCUGGUAACAAGACUUUGCCUGUUAACUCCAACUAACAGAAAUGAGAUCAGAACAACGUGAGCCGCUGGCCCAUCUGAGGAUUAAAAGGAGAGAUAACAAAGAAGGUUAACCCUUCCCAAGGUGACUUGGGCUUGGCCCAUCUAGUGGGGAGGGCAAGGCAGUUACAAAUGGCUCACAGGAGGGCCACACAGCGCAGAUUGAAUUUAUAAAAUACAAGGCAACCACU
rnacentral:lncRNA from 1 species